UACGGAGGAUGCGAGCGUUAUCCGGAUUUAUUGGGUUUAAAGGGUGCGUAGGCGGGACCUUAAGUCAGCGGUAAAAUUGCGGUGCUCAACGCCGUAGAGCCGUUGAAACUGGGGUUCUUGAGUGAGCGAGAAGUAUGCGGAAUGCGUGGUGUAGCGGUGAAAUGCAUAGAUAUCGCGCAGAACCCCGAUUGCGAAGGCAGCGUGCCGUGCCGCCACUGACGCUGAGGCACGAAAGCGCGGGGAUCGAACAGG
rnacentral:rRNA from 1 species